rnacentral:lncRNA from 1 species
UUUUUUUUUUUUUUUGGCACUCAUACACUCCUCAAAAGCAUAGGAAUAAGACUAGAUAUCAAUUUGGCAAAACUUCAACACUUGAGAAGACGCUGUAUUCAUUUUCCCGUUGAGGAUUUAGACAUUGAGAAAAUUGCAUUUUGGUAUCAAAUAUUGAGGGUAUUAUUUUUAAGGGAAAAUCGUUCAAAACAUCCCUCACAUUUUCCAAAAUAACUUUUUUCGUCACUCAUUUUUAAAAAUAUAAUUUUACGUCCCUUACAUAUUCACAUUGGUCAAAUUUGGUUCCUACUUAGGUUUCCGACUAAUUUUUUGUCGGAAUUUACCACGUGCCUUGCACGUGAUCAUAUUUUAAGGGCAAAAUUGUCAAAUCAAAUUUUAUAUAAUUCGAUUUAUAAUCCCUCACAUUUCAUAAAACACAUUUUUUCGUCCCUUACAUUUCACAAAAUAAACUUUUUUCAUCAUUCACAUUUUUUAAAAUGAAUUUUUUCAUCUUUUAUUGAUCAUGUGUGUGAAUAAUUUUUUUUAAAUUUAUGUAUAUAUCUAUUUGAUUUCACCUAAAUAGUACGAAUAGCAUGUGAAAUCAAAUAGAGAUAUAUUACAUACUAUUCGUACUGCUUAAGUGAAAUCAAAUAAAUAUAUAUAUGGGUUUAAAAAAAUUAUUAGUUUUUCACUUAUAUUCAUUUUCUUUUACUCGAAAUUUGAAAAUAAAGAAGACAUUUAAUCCUAAAUAUUAUCGAGUGUUUAUAUCGAAUUAAAUUUGGACAGAAAAAAUAAACAAAAGAAAAGUAUGAACAAAAAGAAAUAAGUGAUUGGCAUUUUCAAAUUUUAAGACAAUCAUAAGGCAAGUAAUUCAACUGUUGGUCUUAAAAGUGUCGAGUAGAAAUUUCAUAUUUAAACUGAAAUUUGUUAGUACAAUUAUAGAAUUCGAGUUAGGACCCAUUAAUUAGAUGACCUUAUUAUACAAUUCAAUAAAUAAAUUAUUACCAAAAGAGAAAUAUCACAAAUAUUAAAUAGGUUCAAAUGAUGAAAUCAUAUAAAUAUAGAUAUCGGUUUCAAACAAAAUUAUUAGUUUUAAACCCAUAUAUAUAUCUAUUGAAUAGCAUGUGUAUAACUAUGAUUAGCAUGUUUAGAUGAAAUCCAAUAGAGAUAAAUUACAUGUUAUUCAUAUUGUUCAGGUAAAAUCAAAUCGACAUAUACGGGGGUUUAUAGAAAAAAAGCUAUUCAUACACAUGAUCAAUGAGGGAUGAAAAAAUUCAUUUUGAAAAAUGUGAGGGAUGGAAAAUUCAUUUUUUGAAAUGUGAGGAACGAAACAAUUCAUUUUGUAAAAUGUUAGGGACGAAAAAAUUCAUUUUGUGAAAUAUGAGGGACUAUGAAUCAAAUUACGUAAAAAUUUAAUUUGACAAUUUUGCCCUACAUGCAAGUCACGUGGUGGAUUCCAGCAAAAAACAAGUCAGAAACCUAGGUAGAGACCAAAUUUGAUCAAUGUGAAUUUGUAAGGAACGUAAAAUUAUACUUUUAAAAGUGAGGGAUGAAAAAAGUCAUCUUGUAAAAUGUGAUGAACGUUUAGAACGAUUUUCCCUAUUUUUAAAGUUUGGACAAAAGCAAAUAUAAGUUUUCCGUAUUUCAAUUUCUAAAUACAUUUAAUCCAAUUGACUGGUUUUGACAAAUUAUUACUGGAAUUCGAUCAGUAGCAAGUACCAAUGGCUAAAUUUUGAAAAAAAUUAGAAAAAAGAAAAAAAAAUUGUUGGCCAUAAUUUGUAAUCAAAGGACACUAAUUAGUUGCAAGCUGAGUAAUUAGUGUUUACUCUUUAGCGACAUGACUUCUGUGCAUGUGCAAAAUUAGUGUCAUUUAAUUACAGAUUAUGGGUUACAAACAUUUUUUCCUUUCUUUUCUAUUUUUUUUUCAUAAUUUAACCAUUGACAUGUGCUAUUUAUGUGACCGAAUUUUAGUAAAAAUUUACCAAAAUCAAUUAAUUAGACUAAAUAUGCUUAAAAAUUGAAACAUUUAGAACUAGAUUUGCUUUUGUUCAAAUUUUAAGGACUAAAAUCAACUGUACCUCAAACAUUUGGUAUCAAAACUACAAUUUUCUUUGUAGACAUCAAUAGGAUACCCUCCAUGCAUUGUUUUGAAACCCGGGUUGGACUGAUUUGACUGCAUAUUAAUCAUGUUCGCGGUUUGAUUCAUAUUUUGGGUUAAUUGGAUUUAAGAUCCGGUGAAAACCGUGCGAAUCGAAAUGAACCAUUGAACUAGUAACAGUUUAUUUUUUUCUGUUAAACUGAAAAACAAAGAAAAAAAUUCUCUUUAAUCCUAUAGACUAAUUACAAAGUGCCUCAAUCACUCACAUUCUUUUUACCUUUUGUCUCGUAUCAAGUAUUCAUUUCUCUAUUUUCUAGUUUCUUAUGUUUCAUUUUUUUUUCAUUUAAUAAAGUUGCAAUUUUUAAUUCCCAAAGACAUGAUUUAAAGCUUAAUCUCACAAUGUUUAAUUCCCAACAACAUGAAUUUUGUUUUAUUUCAAAAUAUUGUGGUGCUUUUAGGUAGGAUUUAAGAUUUUUUUGAUAAAUAUAAUUAAGAUGAAAUUUAUUUAUUUGAAAUUCUAUGCAUAUAUAUAUAAUUUAUUUUUAAAAAAUUAAUUGAAUCGAAGUUGAACUAGCCCAAUCGAUUAAACAGUUAUCCAAACACCUCAUCGAUUCCAUUAACGAUUCCAUUAACGGUUUGAGUUUCAAAACUUUGCAUCAGUGUUGUGUUUAAAUAGCAUCAGUAGAAUCAACACAAGGGGUUGCUCCUGGAUCACCAAUUCCAGCAGAAUUAUUAUGCCGUGAUGGACGAAAACACCACGGGUCACACAAUCACAAACCACAUGGCCCCUGGGCAUGGCCUAAUUUCAAAGUUAAGAUAGAUCAGAACACAACAUAAUACCAUAAAAAUGCAAGAUUGAAUGACUAGCAACAACCCACACUCUGCUUAUUUGGGAUGGAUGGAAGAUUUUGGAAGCAAAACCUGCACCGUCAUACGAUACAGGCAAAAUCUGACCAACCAACACAUGCAUUGCAUAACUAGAACCUCCACAUUGAUCUAUUUAUGACACUUCUUGGCUAUAGUUUUCAGCCUUCAGCAUUGUCGGUAGCUGGGCUUGCAAUCUUCAUCCUGCCAUGAUCAAGCUGAAGCUGGUCCGAGCGAGGAGAAUUAUUUCUAGCCACACACUUGUAUAUCCAUGUCAGAGCAGCUAUUGCAGCCACACAACAGCCACCAGAAAACAAGAAUCCCACAGUGAAUAAGAAAAGCAAUGCAGCAGCUGGGACAAGAAUUGGGCUAAAAAUAACCAGAACUGGGGUGGCCAGGAUCAGGGCCAGCACCGUCCCGGUUAAGAUCAAUGCAGAUAAUCCAAGCAACGCAGCACCUAUAGUUGUUGCUGUUAUCAGCCUAACGACUUGCUUUGAUGUUUGAGUUGGUUCAGGGAGCCUCUGGGAUGUGGGAUCUUGCUGAUCUGUGGGCUUUUGCUGAUCAGACAUGAUUGAUUGUUGUUGCCUUUGGAGGAAGCUAUGCCUGAAAGGAAAUCAGGAGCUCUCUUUCCUCGGGUGUAUCACACACGCAGGAUGGAGUUUCCAGUGGCACUACUAUAUAAACCCAUGAUGAUUUGGGACCAGCUGACACAUGGCAAAUUCCAAGGAUGAUCAUCGCCUUGGGCGGUGUGGCGAGUCAGGGUAUCUGAAACUUGGGAUAAUUUCAGAAACCUUCCCUAAGGUUUUUAAAAAUUUCACCGAGUUCCCUCGUGAUUUUAAAAUUAUAUUUGCCUCCCUUAUCCACUUAAAAUGAUAAUAUUAGCCUUAAUAUUUUAAUAAAACUCCCUUGUUGAAUUUGCAUAUAUGAAGAGUGAGAUUUAUAAUUAGUUUUCUUUUCAUUUUCUCUUUUUAUUCCUCCUUUUUGAAUAUUUUUUUUGCCAGUAAAAUUAUAGGAUUAUAAACGUUAACCAUAAUUGUUAAAUGAAUGACUUUUUUUUUUGAGAUCUUUUAAUGUGAUCCAAUUUUUUAUUUGUCAAUCUUUUUUGUUUUAUAUCAAAAGCAGCGCUAACUAAAAAAAAAGGGCCCAAAAUUACUAUUAAACUAUGAUAAUUUCAUCAAUUAAAAAAUCCACAAAGUUUAUUUUGUCAUAAUUGGUAGACAAUUGCUUAUCAAACAAUAAAUUUGGUAUUGACAACUUGACAAUUUUUUCUUAUAUUUGUGUGAAAUGUGUUAUUAUUGCUUUAGAAAGUAAUUGAACUUUAUAAGAUAAGACUAUUUUGAGGUAUUCAUUUAAAUUUUUGACCAAGUCUACAAUUUGACCAUCAAAAGUGUCAAAUCAAAAGAAGUAUGUGUAAUUUUUAAAAUCUCAAAGGAAUUUAACGAAAUUGUCAGAUAUCUCAAGGGAAGUUUAUGAAAUUAUCCCCUAAAACUUUGUGCUAUUAUGGUGGUGUGAUCCAUGUUGUGUUGAGGUUAGGGGUGUGCAAAAUCGAAAAAUUCCGAUUUACCGACCGAAUUCGAAUUGAAUUCGGAAUUUUCGAAAUCGGUAAAUCGGAAAUCGAAAUCGAAUUCGGAUUUUCCGAAUUCAUAUAUUUUGAAUUUGGUUCGAAUUCGAUAAUGGAGUUUUUCAAAUCGGAAUUCGAAUUCCGAUUUCGAUUUCAAAUUCGUUUUUAAUAUAUAAAUAUAUUUUUUAUACAUGUAAUAUAAAAUUUAUACUAUAUAAUAUUAUAUAAAAUUUAUAUAAUAUAAUAUAAUAUAAUAUAAAAUUUAUAAAAUUUAUAUAAUUUUAUAUAAUUUUAUAAAUUUUAUAUUAUAUAAUAAUAUAUAAAUUUUUUCGAAUUCGGUGAAAUCGGUGAAAUCGGAAUUUACCGAAUUCCGAAUUGAAUUCGGUACGAAUUCGAAUUCGGAAUUGGUGAAUUCGAAAUCGAAUUCGGUCGAAUUACCAGGUACCAAAAUUUCGAAAAAUUCCGAAUUCAAACUUCCGAAUUACCGAAUUCGAAUUCGAUGCACACCCCUAGUUGAGGUAGAGUCGCAUAACUACAGUUGGAUGUUAAAUAGUUAAAGUGCUUAACAGGUAAAGAAGCAGAACGUUUGAUGGAUGCAGUAACAGUCAUUGCUGGUUUAAAGUCGAACCAUAAGAUAAAGCAGUUCCCAGUUAUUGCCCAAGAUUUAGUCAUCUUAUGAGAUUAAAGACAAGGGACUGCAAAAGGAGAUCAUUUCCUAUCCCAAAACUCACACGAACCUAUUCUGCAAUCUGCGCCUAUCAACUUAAUCAAAAAUGUAUCCUCCAGCUUGACACCCCACUGCUUAUUGUAAGAUUACAAACUUUGUUCAGAACAAACACAAAGUAGACAUUCAUAUGCAUAUCAAUCACAUUUUCCUCGAAAGAUAAGGACCAUCUUGUUCAGAGGCACACGUUAAUCUCAUUUAGAAAAUCCUCCAGCAAUAAGCUGCAACAUUUCAAGUCUGAACUCAUAACAUCAUUGUUCCCAUUUUGUGGCAGAAAAUGCAGCUAUGAAUCUUUAGCUCCACGUGACUCUUGAUUCUUCAAUAGAAGGUAUGGUGGGAGAAAAGAUGGGAUCAGGAAUGCAAUAACCAAGCAAAGCAAUACCAAUAUCGCCACAUACCAGGCCUUGUGAGGAAUGCCAAAAAAUAGUUCAUCACAAACUGCCAUGUAAACAAUCAAAAGGAUCAGAAUUUUGCAAUGCACGAUGGACUCUGAGAUGCAGUUAUAACUGAUAAGUAAAAGAUACAAGAAAUAGAUGCAUAUGAGGAGCCAAAUGGAAGAUGAACAGCAAAGCAGCAGAAAAGCAGAAAAGCCAAAAGGAAAAUUAAAAAUUUUUUAAAAAAUAUUAACAAGUCCAAAAAUAAACUGCCCAAGUUUUAAGGAUUACAAAGGCUAAAAGAACGUCUCAGAAGAAAGGUUUGUGGACAAUUAAAAUUGAAUUCAGUGAAUAUAAUCAAAUGCUGUCCAUACAUGUUAUGUAAGAUAAAAGAUUAGGAUAAAGGAUCACAGCACGAAGGAAUUACAGCUUUAGCGUAGUACAAAAGCGAGGUUAUAACAUUGAACAAGAGGAAAUGGGGGCGGGCAUCAGAGUAGAAAUGAGACUUAAGGUUUUAAGACCCUACUGAAAUCAAAGUUUCAUCUAGUAUUGCUGAGUCACAAAAUGAUAGGAAUUGCUGCAGGUGUCUCAAGUUGCUCUGUAGUCAAAUGUUUCCUUGCUCACAUUUUUGCCUACGAAAAUCACCAGUUUGGUAGUUGCUUCAACUGCACUUCACACUGAACCUCUAAAAUUGAUUAAUUUUUUCUCUUUUUUGGGAAAAGAGACUGCUCAGCAGGGAAAAACAAUAAAAAAUAGAGAUGUUUUACAUCUAUAAAAGCUUUGAAAUGCAUAAAGCUUCACCUAGAUCAGAAAUUAGAACACUUAAACAGCCAAACAGAAGAUGGUAGAGAAAUUGUGACAUGCACAGCAUCAGAUUUAUUCAUAUACACAAGACCACAUAGGAAGGAAUCCAAACUCUCGAGUACCUAUAUUAAAUAUGAUGUACUUUCUCUCUUUUGCUCCUGGUAUGGCAACAACUCCCUCAGGCAUCACACUCACUAAAACAUAUAAUCCACCCUGAACAGAACCUGAAGAUUUAGAAUCUUGACCUUAAGAAAAGCACUAAAAAAUUUGGUUGUUCGAGAGACAUAAUAAGGACCUGGUCAUCCAGCGAUUCCAGCUUGUCAGUUUUGAAAAUUAACUUCUCUGUAUUCAGCAAUUUCCUUCCAAAGUUCAGCUCCGGAUCAGAACUUGCGUUUUUAAGUUGUAAAGAGAAACUAGCCGGUAUCUGCAAUUCAUUCACUGGCAGUUGGACAAGUUUUGACCCAGAAAGUCCAAACUCACCAUUGCAAAAUUAAAAUACAAAUUUACAUACAGAAGCGGGAUAUGAUAUCUUCACUUCAUACCACAUAUUUGAUCUUAGCCCUUGCAGUUGAUAUAAGCAGGAGCCACUUUGUAGUGGUAGAGUUUCCUUCAGUAGCUCCUUGCCAACAUGCAACACCUUUGUGUUGGCCCUACAUCAUCAAUUCAAAAGCAGUCAAGUAACGUCCAAUUUGCUAGUGACACAUCGGCACAGCAGAAGCUAACGUUGCAAAAUUUGUCAACAAAAAGGAACAGUAAAUCAACAGAUGUCUACAUCCUUGUAAUUUAAACCAAAUAAUCUCCACUUAGUGAAGGCCUAUCCAGCUAUCUCACUCCAACAGCAUGUGAUCCAAGCACAAAGGAAGACUAAAAACAUGAGCUCUUAUUUGCACUGAAUAUCUUUUUCAAUCUCAAAACAAAGCAUGAAAUGACUUACACACUGCUCUGACUGAAUGCUGGGACAGCAAGAAUGAGCAGAAAAAGGCAAAAAUGCUGUAGGCUUGAUGGACAACUCAUUUUGAAGCGAUGAAAAUCUGCCUGGCCUCGAAGUUUUAACUUGAAAAAGCCAUAAACAUCAACUUUCAGUCAUACCAAUGAAAUUGAAGAACGCUAAUAGCGGUAUGGAUUAACAGAUUUAGUUAACUAAUUCUACAUUCUUAACAAAGAACCAUUAAUAUUCUCUUGGGUAACCUUACUGAUGAACUAGUUCUAACAAUGUAAAUCAUUCUUGCAACAAAACCCAGGUUAGCAAUAUACUGAAAGAAUGCAGUUGAAGCAAUACUUCAAUUGGGCAUUCUGUCAAACAUUUAGUAGCCAUUACAAACAAAAAGGAUGUUCCUACAGUACCCUCUCAGGAAAAAUUUAAAUAUAUAAAUGUACCAGCGGAGACGUUUUGAUCACCUGCUAAAAGUAAUGUUAGAUUGUAGAAAGAGUUAGAAACUUGUGAACAAUUAAACUGUAGUAGAACUCAGGGAAAUGGAGACUGGUGAAGUUUUACGGGUAUACCACUUGAAUGGGAUGCGUGAGGCUGCCCAGGUCUCAAGUAUUAUUAAUUGUUAGCAUUUCUUUAAUGAGAUCAUUACCCACUCAUUUACUUUAAUGGAAGCAUUGGUAUUUCGUAUGUAUGUACUUUUACUUGCUAGUUGUAAACUAUUAUCAUCAAUCUAUAAAUUCAGUAAUUAUCAAAAGUUCUUCCAACAUUUUAAAAAGAUAAGAAACAAAAACCUAUCUGGAUCUUUUCUUAUUUGGCAAAAAAGAAACACUUGAUGCAUUAUGUUAAGCAGUAUCUUCAACUGAUGCCAAAUGUGAAUCACAAUUACAAUCAAAGCAGCAAGAACAAACAAACAAAAAUGAAUAGUAAAAUUACAAACAGUCAAUACUUAACUUACCUAGCUAAAAAAACCAACUGUAAAUUUUAUAUACAUAAGCUUUGCACUGAAUUCAAGAAACAGAAAAACAAAAGCAAAAUUUUACAUUAAUGAAGCAAAAUGGUAAAACCUGCUAAAUAAAUUAUCACAUAAAAAAGAUAUGAAUAAACAAAAAUUCGAUGCUUUCACAAACAAUAUUACUAAAGGAAAGCUCCAUGCAAACAAUAUAGAGAAAUACCGUCAAUUUCUUGAUUGAUAACUUUUCAAUUGUCAUCAUCUUUAAAACCAGAACGGACUUGCUAAGGUAACCAAGCAAAUAAGUAGUAAAACUGGUAAAAGAAAUGAAGCAGCAAAGCAACCUCUUGAGUAAGAUCCAUUAAGGCUGUUAACUCUCUAACAGAAGCAUUUAAGAGUUAAGCAUGGAUCAUACUGCAGAAAAAAACAAAUCAAGAAAAGCGUGUGGUCAUUUAACAGGGAUAGCCACCAAUUUUGAGCCAGAUGGUUACCUUACUCAUAUCAUUAAAAACAAUCAUAACCAUAUCCAUCAAACUUACCUUUUACCAACAAGAAAAAUAUGAGACAAUUCUUCUUGCAUUAAAAUUACCUUUACCAACAAGAAAAAGAUGGAUCUGUAAUCAUUUAAAGAAUGAGCCACAAACAGUUUUUAACUUGUCAUACUCUAAAUGGUUUUAAAAUGAGCCACAAAAAUAGUUUCCCACUCAUCAUACACUAAAAUGCUUUAAAUUCAUUCGUUUCUUUUGUGCAUCACAAAAACCUCAUGAAGUACCCCCGAAACUGUUUGUUCCAACUUCCAACAAAGCUAGAUUAUACGUAAAUCCGUAUUUACAAUUCUAUCCAUGACAUGUCUUCAGCUCAUAUCUAAGCUUGACCCUAAAAACACUUUUGGAUGGCGGUGAAUUUAGCCAUCAGCAAAGUGCCAUUAAGUGAAGAUUAAAGAAAUUAAUAUUUCCCCUUCCACUUUCUGACUAGUGAAACUGAAAGCAAAUUCUGGAGCGUCAUUAUUAAAACAAAGUGAUCGAGUCUACUAACAAAAGUUCAUAAUCCAAGAAGCAGAAUCAUGCCCAAAGGGCCUUACAAAGGCACUAAAUGCUAAUGGAAAGACUGAUAAAGUUAUUAAGCUUCGUAAUAAGAGUGGAAGUGUAUGCUUAGCUAGAUAUAAUUCGACCCAUCAGUAUAAAGAUCAAAUCCAAUACACACUCAAAAGACAGCUUCUAUUAAACUCUUUCCUGAGAUAUAGACAAGCGGUUUUAAUAGGAGUAAACAGACAAAUUACAAUAAUUAGAUAGGAGUAAACUGUCAUAAGCAUUAUAAGAGAUAUCUUAAAAUAAAUCAAGUGAUUUCAAUUUGGCAUUUGCAAAUGUCUUUGAACAAGGAAAAGAACUUUGUAUUUCAAUGCAUACCAGAAAGCUUGGUGGAGUAACCCUAGUGCCACUGAGUCCAACACAUCCUAGCAAAUAUGACAAAGAUCUCGAGUUAAGUGUGAGUAUUUGAGAAGAGAAUAAGGGUUUGCUGCAGCUUGAUUUGGAGUUUGCCGCUGCUUCUCUCCAGCGGAGAUUACAGGCAGUUCUGGGCGGUGGAAGGAAAAUUAGCGCAAGGACAAAAUUCUCCUUUAAGAAGCCAAAUAAAAUUACAAAACAGUCCAUCUGCUGAUUACAGUCCACCUAUUGAUUACCGCCCACGUACUCUUGGUCUCCAUAGAUAAGGAUGCAAAUGAUUUGGGCAAAAAGUCCCACUGGCCCUCAAACUAUUAGCCGAAUGAAGUUUUGACCCUUAAACAAUUAAAAGUAAAUUUUUGGCUCCUAAUCUAUUCAAAGCACAAAAUAUUAGAUCUUCUGUUAAAUUCAGCAGUUAAUACUAACGGAAAUUAUGACCACGUGAGAUGCACGCCGAAAUACGAAGGGCAUUUUUGUCCUACUGUGUUCCACUCUGUAAAAUGGAGCGAAAAAUUUUUUCACUCGUAAAUGCACCGACCACCCUUACAAGAACAGCACCCCAGGUGAGAUCUGUGCCUUUUGUCUUCAAGAACAGCAGCCCAAGUGGGAUCUGCUCAAGAGAAGCUUGGCAAGCUUGUUUCUUCCUCAUUCUAUUGCUAUUUUCCCGUCUUCUUCUUCUUCUUCGUCUCCUUCAUUUAGAUCUGACUUUGGUGGUGGCAUUACUAGUGCAUCAUCUUCCUCUGCUAUUCGCCCUCCUCAUCACGGUUCCUCAGCAACUUCGUUUUUCGGCGAGAGGACCAAAGAAUUAGAGUAGUAGUAUAUCAUAUCGUCCAAAAGGGCUUUCACGAUCUGGGUCCGGCAACUGAAAGUGAAAGAUUGCAGGCAUCCAUGUUUAAAGCGUCUUUAUUUGUGUCUUGACCUGGUGGAACCAUAGCUUUAUUGGCUUUUUUUUUUUGGGAGGUUGGAAAAACUUGCCAAGCUCUAGUUUUUUUUUUUUUGGAAUUUUGAUGUGCAGGCUCUAGUUCUAAAAAGCGAAUGUUGGUUUCUCGCAUGCUUCCAGUUCAGCAACUUCUUUGGUUGCAAUUGAGUUUUUUUUUGUUCAAGUUCAGGAAGAAGUCCAAUUUCACCAAGUGGAUGACAGCUCUUUAUGGACAAAAAUGUCAUUCGUAUUUCGGCGUGUUUUUCACGUGGUCGUAGAUUCUGUCGUUAUUAACUGCUGAAUUUGACAGAAGGUCUAAUAAUUUAUACUUUGGAUAGAUCGGGGGCCAAAACUUUACUUUUAAUUGUUUGAGGGCCAAAACUUUAUCCGGCUAAUAGUUUGAGGGUCACCGGGACUUUUUGCCCAAAUGAUUUUAAUCAUGGCGACUUAAACGCCCUAAUAUCAAGUUCAACAUUGUUAAAAUUAUACAACAGUUAACCUAUUGAUUAUAGAACAAUUCAGCUAUUGCAACUCAUGGUGUCCAUAGAUAACAGAGUGUAAACGACUUUAAUCAAAUAGUAAAGUAAAUGAUUUUAUAUAAAGUAAAAAAUCGAUAAAAUGUACAUCGACUAGAACAGAUUGAUCUAGACGAACUCUAACUAUACUCAUACGAAAUUAUAAUAUUCAUUUUAUUCACUUAAUCCCUCCCUAGGGUUUUGCAUAUACUUAAAUAAUCCUUUUAUGAUUCAUGCAAAGUGGUUAGACCCCUAAAGUAAGUAUAAUAUUAAUAUUUCAAUCAAUGAUGUUAUGCGGUUUGCUUUUCGUUAAAUUUUUCAUUUUACACAUAACUACAAAAAAAUUAUGCUGAUAUUUUAAAACUUUAAAAGGAUUAGAUGGAAAAAAGAGACACAUGGCAGUUAUUGGUAAUUUAUCCUUUUUUGUUCUAGAGUAUUUGCCAAAGGGCCAUAUAAAAAAAAGAGUAUAAAACGAUGUUGGAUGAUAAAUUAUUAAGAUUGAAAUUACUAUAAUGAAUUUAUUGGUUAUAAACUAGUUAUCUAAGGUUCGAAGGGGUAAAACAACCCCAUCAUUUCAUACAAUGUGGACGCAGCAUAUGUUAAUCUAAGAUUUAAAAAACAUUUUUUUCUUGCUCCUUCAAAUCACAACCCUUGAUCAUAUGUUAAUCAACGGUUCAUUUUUGGCUAAAAUAAAAAAAAUGCAACCGAAAAUCUUAACUUCAAAAAUUCUUAAGCUGUGGAAAAAAAAUGAAAAAAUAAAUCGGACAAGUCGAUAUUGUAACUUGUGGCGACCCUUAUGAUAGACAAACUCCCUACAAAACACUACUUUUGUAAUAAUUUUUUGUUUUAACAUUAUUUCGAGAAAUUCGCCCAAUUUUUACCGCAAAUUGGAUAAUUGAUUUUAACAUUAUUUUGAGAAUAAUGUGGGUAAAUUAAAUUUUAGGCUUCCAUGGUUUGGGUUUACAUAUUAGGGUUUUAGUGUUAGAUUUUAGGAAUUAGGAUUUUAGAGUGAGGGUUAGGAUUUUACGGGAAAAAAUAAACAAAGGAAUCGCCGCACAUGAGCUUUGCGGCGAUUCCUUUUUAAUAUAAUAUUCUUCGCCCGUCAUUUCAUGAGAGGCCGAAGCUUUUGCCAAAAAAAAAAAACCGCUCCAUUAACUUCGUUGGCAAAAAAAAAGUGAAAAUUAAAACAAUUUUUUUUAUGAAGCCUCACUUCCUAUUUGCGGCGACCCUUCAACCAGAAACACCCCUCAACUAACACCACGUUUGUGAUGAUUUUUUGUUUUAACAUUAUUUCGAGAAAUUCUCCCAGCAUAUGUAAUUGUUGGACAUCAUCUCUCAAUUAAAAAGACCCAAUUGAGACUUUUUUAUUCAUAUAUAUAUAUAUAUAUAUAUAUAUAUAUAUAUAUAUAUAUAUAUAUAUAUUUGCAUGUGUUUUGGGGGAGGGGGUGGGGAAAUUCAAACAAUCAAACCACGUGUUGAACUUUUGCUUUUGGUCAUUUUGCGACAUGGAAUAAAUAAUCCUCUAGUAAAUACUUAGGCCAUCAUCUGCUAUGGUUAGUUAUAAAGUUGGAUUUGUGCAUAUACGCAUACUCGUUCUUGAUUAAUCUGCUAAACAGAAAUUUGUGACUCGUCUUGUUUUGUGUCUUAUAGGAGAUGAUUUGCUGCUAAUGACCAUUUCAAAAUUAUUAAUGCAUCUUGGUUAUUGGUGAAUUUUUUCGUAAGGAUGAUAGAAUACAGUAUUGGCCCCAAAAGUUUAAUUGCAAUUUAGUACUUGACCUUUUAGUGGGAGUUAUUAUGUGUAUAAUUAAAUUUGAAGGCAUAAAAAUAGAAUCAAAUAAACUUGUGAGACGAAUUUAAGGUUUAUUUAAAUCGAUCAUCAACCCUAUCGACUCAACUUAUUCUUUACACGAUUAAGAGAGAAUUAAGAGAGAAAUUUCUAAUAAAUAUCUUGGGCACAUGUUAGUAAGCAUAAAUUAUACGUACCUUAUCAUGCGGAUGUAUAAUAUCACAUUCAUUACAUCCUUGUUCAUGAAGUUUCUUUCUCAACGGAUUACGAAUAUGAGAAUAAAUGGUCCAGCCAAACACUCUGAGAUGGCCAAUAAAUGGUCGUUUACUAUUCUAAAUUUCUUCAAGGUUGUUCCAAGUACACUUCUUGUAUAGCACCUAUUCAACAGAUAAGGUUUAUUUAAAUUGAUUAUGAAUGUGAUAUUUGGCUACUGCUAAUUCAAAAUUUGGCUAUUGAUUACAUUUUCGGUGUUACCUCUCACUGUUAUAAAGGAGUAAUAAGUGAAAGUUUCGAGUAAACGGAAAUCUUCAUCUAAAAAUAUCGAUUUUCGCGUCAAAAGACAUUUUCACAAAUUAAGAGUAAAUAAAGGGAAAAAGAAAGUGAACACUCCCGUCUAGAGGUUCGUAAAGGUUUAACUUCAAUUUGAAGGAAGAAACUCUAAGGUGACUAUAUAGGUUACUUAUUUGUGAAAUUGGGUGAGAUAGAGAGUUUGAAUUUGUUUGGUUGAAUUUCAGGUAUAAUUGUCUCUCUUUUACAUGAUAUGAUGAGUAUUAUAGGCGAUAUGAAUGGUUGCAUAAUGAAAGUUUGCUAAAUUGAGUAAAACUUGAAUUUCGGAUUCACUUGAUUUGUUUCACUUCUUAAACCAUUGUUGAGUAAAAUUUUCUUAUUAUUUGAGAACAAGUAAUGAUUUAAGUGUAGAAAAAUUUGAUAAGUGCAUGUUAUACAUAGUUAUUAGUAACAUUUUGUGUGUAUUUUUGGUACAAAUUAGGAUGAUUUAAGAUGUAACUUGCUCCUUAAGCUUAUAAAUUUUGUGAAUUUUAUUUGAGUUACUUAAUGUGCAAAAGUUGGUUAUAUUUGUAGGAAUUGACUGAACUCUCAACGUUGGUUCAAGAUGGAUCCAAUUCGAAGUCUUUAGCGCUUGAUUCAACAGUAAAUGUGGAAAGUAGAAGAGCAUCAAUUGCAAGGAUCAAUGGUGGAAUGCAUGAAAAAUAAGAUGAACAUCUUACAUGAGGCAUUAGAGAUGAACUGGAGCAAGGAAGAAGCAAGAAAACGUAAACAAGGACAAUACGCGACCCUUGAAUACGCGAGCUGAGGUCGCGUAUUCUAAGAUCACGUAUUCUGCUCAGAAAUUCUAUAACUUGCUCUGCCACUUGUUAUGUUUUCACACUACUUUCCAGCUCAGUUUCAGACAAGAAUUUCAGCUGCACAUGCUCAAGAGUCAUUUGGAAAGAGAAAAGGAACUUUAUGUCUUGUCAUUAACAAUUUUUUGACUCUCUUAACAUUAUUGGUGUAAGAAUCAUUAGAGAAGGGAGAUUUUAGUCAUUAUGGUGGUGAUUAUCAGAUUUUACUUAGAGAGAGUUUGGAGAGAGCCUUUUUUUGUUCUUUCUAACAAGAGAAUUGUGAGAACAAUUGGAAACUUCAUUGUACAACUCAUUUUGUUGAAGAAAUAGAAUAUCAUUGGGAGCUUAUUCAUCAUUUUGGCUAAGCUUUCUUUAUCUAUUUUUUUACUUGUGAUUCAAUAUGUAUUCAUGCAAUGAAGCUAUGUACCUUCUUGUCAUAUAUCAUAUGAGUAGCUAAAUUUCUAAAUUUAGGGAGUAGAUGAAACUUAUGGCUACUUGAUAUAAAACGAAUAUGAUUUGCACUUGUUAUAUCUUGUCUUAACUUGUUCAUUUAUGCAUACUUAUCACUUGUUGUUGCUUGAUCACCAAUAGCAAGUUAUUAGUUGUUAUUAUUCAAUGAAAAUUGGUAAUAAUGAUGGAACAAUAUAAAUGAAACUUAAGCAGUAGACUCAUGAGAAUAGAGGUACACUUAAGUGGAUUAUCUUUACAUUUCAUGACUUGAAAGUGGAUUAUCCAAAUGACUCGAAACUUUCACUUUUUACUCCUUUAUAACGGAGUGAGAACCUUUAUAAUUUGGCUACUGCAAAUUCAAACUUUUCACAUUGAUUCCAUGACUAUUAUAAGAUUGCAUAUAUGUUGGAGAUAAAAAUUGAAUUGCCUCGAUUGUUUUAUAGGCCAAUACUAGCCAAUGGAUGUUGGUGCAAGUGGAAGGGAUUCACAUCCCUUAAUCAUGUGAUCUCGAAUUCGAAACAUAUGAGAAUGGAAAAAACAAUAUUGAAAAAUUUUCCUCCACAAGGGACCGCACUAGACUCAAACAUGAUUACUCACAAACCUUAAAAUGGAUGCGAUACCUGUACUUUAUUUUUUUUAAAAAAAGGCCAAUACUCUUUCUUCCGAAGCCCAAAGAGCUUACGUCAAUUUUUACAAACCUAAACCCCGAGGGAACCCCAAAAGCCGGUAUCCUUUGAGGUCCCACAGGAGACUUAUAACUACCAACCCAAACCCUCCCAACCCCGAUGUGGGAUACAUCAAAGGGGACGACACCCCAAACCUCCACAACGGGGGAGUUCAAACACCCCAAUACUCAUUAGUAUUGAAAUUGUUUAAAUUAGAAUAUUUUGAAUUCCUUAAGAGUUCAAUAGUUAUCGCUCUCCUCACUGUUUCAUCAACGGUUUUGUAUGCUGAAAAUUUUCAAAAAUAAUUUUAGUAUAAAAAUUCAAUUUGAACAUGUUUUAUUUUGGUGAUCUAUUGAUCUGAUAUUUUAUGUGAGAGGUGAUCUCAUGCCUAAAAGAUUGUGCGUGGUGCUUUUAUGAGAAACUUUGCUAUAAUUAACUGUCUUGACUCUUGGUUAAGUUUUUAUGAGUUGAUGGGAUGUUUGUUCCUCACUCAUAGUUAAGGCUGAAACUUAUCGAACAUCUUGACCCUCUUAGAGCAUCUCCAAUGGGGGUGUAAUGGGGAGGUGUAAUGGCUCCCCAUUACACCCCUCCAUGACACGGCUCCCCAUUGGAGCCGUGUCAUGCGGAUUACACGCAUCAUACAUAUGAUGCGUGUAAUCCGUUGAUUCUUCUUCCCAUGGCAACGGUAAUAUAACAUUCCAACGGCACAAUUUUCUUCCGAUUGAAUUUAACAUUCUAACGGCUUCCAACGGCAUUAUUUUUUAGAAUUCUAUAUAAAUACACAACACUUUUUACUAAAACAUAUCCCAAUAUUCUACUCUAUUAUUUCUUUUAUUCUCUCACACACUUCUACUCUCUCACUCAUUUAAUUCAUUUUUUGUGAUUAUGGAUGAAAAAUAUAUUAUUCAAACUUAAAAAUUAAUAAUAUCAUUUUUAGAAAAUAAAAAAUUCAAAAUGUACAAAAUUUAACGAAAGUUAGUACUUUAUUUUUUAAAAAUAACAAAAUUAGUUUUAAAAAUUACUUUAUUUAUUUAUGGGAUAUGAGUUAUGCAUUAUUAAAAUAAAUAUUUGAUUAAUUGUGGACCCAUGCUAUUACACCUUGUGGAGUGUAAUCCAUUGUGAGUGAAAGUGUAAUAAAAGAGGAGAAAGUGGAAUGCUGACGUGGCAUGUGAAUUACACUCCAUAAAGUGUAAUCCAUUGUGGAUGCUCUUAGUGCUUUAUAACAGUUAGAAUGGAUAUCCAGAAUUACAAACAAAAUUUAAAGGUCCUUAAACCCAUUGGGCUAUUGUAUUAACAUUAAACUGUAUUCGAUCAAUCUGCUGUGAAAAUUGAAUGAAGCUCCAGUCAGUCAUUGAUAUAUGUGUGUGCGUGUGGUCUGAUUGAUACUAAUCUGAAUUGCAACCAAGUAUUCGUGUAUGUAUGUGCAUGCUUCAAUUAUGAAAUGAAAAUUUUUUAUUCUACUGUUACAAACAGUCCAUCAGUCCACCUAUUGAUGGUGUCCAUAGAUGAGAGUGCUAUUGAUUAUAGACGUUAUAGUAUUCAAAUUUGUUUGAUUGUUUAAAUGAAUUUAAAAUUUUGUCAUAAUGCAUGAUUUUGUACUUAUAUUUUUGAGAGCUGAACUCAUUUACAUAUAGACUGAUCGAAAUAUUCAUUCUGCUUAUCCAAAUCAGACGAUGCAAGAACCGGAAAUUUUGGGCUAUCAAAUAUCUUACAGGGGAAAAUUUAAGAGAAUAGAAGAACAAUUUUUCUCAUAUUUCGGCAGCGUUUCUUUAUCUUGAGCAAAUGAAUUUGACCGUCGUUUAGAUAUAUAAUCCAAAAAUUUAACAAUCGAUUCACAGAUCCGCAUAUAUAACACAAAAAAUUCUAUUUUCACUUUCUCCCCAACUAAAACGUGCUAGUAUGUCAAAAUCCUGCGGGCAUCUGCAUAUGACAUGCAUAUUCCUAGUAGUACGUAAUGGAUCAUAAAGAAACAAUUCAAUACGGUAAUACUGGCAAGGCACCCAAAGAGAUUAAACAACUAAAAUACGACUACAAAACUUGGAAUACUGUCAUUACUAAUGAGCUGUCCCGAACUACAGCACAACUUGAUACAGCUUAAAAAAGCCAAUUUAGACUGAUGUUUCCAAGCCAAAUGAGAAGGGGAAACUGAGCCAUGGCAAUGAAGAGGAGGAGGUAAUGAUGCCGGCUUGAAUCAUAACUCCUCACCUCUGCGAAAAGAACUCUCUUCAUUGUCUUCACCAAGAAAAUUCCCAU